rnacentral:rRNA from 1 species
AACGCUGGCGGCGUGCCUAACACAUGCAAGUCGAGCGAGAACGUUUCUUCGGAAACUAGUAAAGCGGCGGACGGUUGAGUAACACGUGAGAAUCUACCCUUUAGUGAAGAAUACCUCCGAGAAAUCGGAAUUAAUACUGCAUAAGUCCCUUCGGGGAGAAAAGUGGCCUCUUUGCUGCUGCUAAAGGAUGAGCUUGCGGACUAUCAGCUAGUUGGUGAGGUAAAGGCUCACCAAGGCUAUGACGGUUAGCCGGCCUGAGAGGGUGUACGGCCAGACUGGAACUUAGACACGGUCCAGACUCCUACGGGAGGCAGCAGUGAGGAAUCUUGCGCAAUGGGCGAAAGCCUGACGCAGCGACGCCGCGUGGGGGAUGAAGGUCUUCGGAUUGUAAACUCCUGUUAAGUGGGAAGAAACGCCUGUUGUUAAUACCAGCAGGAAAUGACGGUACCAUUAUAGAAAGCACCGGCUAACUACGUGCCAGCAGCCGCGGUAAUACGUAGGGUGCUAGCGUUAUUCGGAAUUACUGGGCGUACAGGGUGCGUAGACGGUUUAUUAAGUCAGUUGUUAAAGACCCCGGCCUAACUGGGGGAGUGCGAUUGAAACUGAUAGGCUAGAGGUUGGGAGAGAGGAGUGGAAUUCUCGGAGUAGCGGUAAAAUGCGUAGAUAUCGAGAGGAACACCAAUGGCGAARGCAGCUCCUUGGCCCAAUCCUGACGUUGAGGCACGAAAGCGUGGGUAGUAAACAGGAUUAGAUACCCUGGUAGUCCACGCCGUAAACGAUGAUCACUAGACGUUGGUUUUGCUUAGCAGAAUCAGUGUCGCAGCUAACGCGUUAAGUGAUCCGCGUGGGGACUACGGUCGCAAGACUAAAACUCAAAAGAAUUGACGGGGGUCCGCACAAGCGGUGGAACAUGUGGUUUAAUUCGACACUACGCGAGGAACCUUACCUAGGCUUGACAUGCUUUUGACCGCUAUAGAAGCAUAGUUUUCUAGGUCUUUGAUCUAGACAGAUGCACAGGUGCUGCAUGGCUGUCGUCAGCUCGUGCCGUGAGGUGUUAGGUUAAGUCCUUCUAACGAGCGCAACCCUUGCUGUCAGUUGCUAUUCUUCGGAAGCACUCUGGCAGGACUGCCUGGGAAACCAGGAGGAAGGUGGGGAUGACGUCAAGUCAUCAUGGCCCUUAUGCCUAGGGCUACACACGUGUUACAAUGGCCAGUACAAAGGGCUGCAAGCUCGCAAGAGUAAGCGAAUCCCAUAAAACUGGUCUAAGUUCGGAUUGAGGUCUGCAACUCGACCUCAUGAAGUUGAAAUCGCUAGUAAUCGCAUAUCAGCUAUGAUGCGGUGAAUACGUUCUCGGGCCUUGUACACACCGCCCGUCACACCACGAGAGUUGUUUGUACCCGAAGUUGCUUUAGCCAACCUGCAAAGGAGGCGAGUACCUA